rnacentral:rRNA from 2 species
UACGUAGGGGGCAAGCGUUAUCCGGAAUUACUGGGUGUAAAGGGAGCGUAGGCGGCAUGGUAAGCCAGAUGUGAAAGCCCGAGGCUUAACUUCGAGGAUUGCAUUUGGAACUAUCAAGCUAGAGUACAGGAGAGGAAAGCGGAAUUCCUAGUGUAGCGGUGAAAUGCGUAGAUAUUAGGAAGAACACCAGUGGCGAAGGCGGCUUUCUGGACUGAAACUGACGCUGAGGCUCGAAAGCGUGGGGAGCGAACAGG